AAAUCUCAACCUCCUUUGUUUCUUCCGGGGACCAAAGGAGGCUUGGACUUUGGAGGUUUUUGCUGGUGUCUUUGAAGGCCAGCUCCUCUUAAAUGAAUUAGCGAGGUCCUCUUUGCCGAUCCUCGACAUGUGAUAAGAUGCUUCCGUGUCUUGGUUUCUGGCUCUGUUGCCUUUGGGAUCCGCUUCUAACCGUCUUGACCUUGCGUCGAGACAAUGUUCGAGCUCGUCUCCCUUCUCGGGAAACCCUCUCGACCUCACGAAC
rnacentral:misc_RNA from 1 species